GCCCUCAUACGCGCCCUGCUCCUGCCCCGACUGCUCGUCAGCUACGGCCGCGCCCCGCGGCCAACGCCAGAGGCAGCGCACGGCGUAGUGCGGGGGGGCCCGCCGCGCCGCGCCCGCCGCCAGCGGCCGUCCGACAUUGUCGCAGGCUUCCAGGACCAACUCCUUGCCGACCGCCAAGCCCAAUCGCUUGCGCAUGUCAGCUGGAAUCGUCAUGUACAGGUUAGCCCUGCGGCUGCAUAAUUUACGCUGUGGAAUGCAGGCGGGGAAACAAGGCGGGGCGUUGGUGGGCCAGCGAGAGCCGUCGGAGCGCAUUGGACGCGCUAGCAGGUGGCGGUGAGGGUGCGGAGCAAAGUGACAGGCGUGGCGGGCGGGACGUUGGAUUCCAGACUUGGACAUGCAGGGAAUGGCGCGGCUCACCGUAAAGGUUUCCUUCGUCCGCCCAAUGUGCAGGACCACGGAGCUGCCUAUGCCCAGCCCGGCGAACCCGCCGCCCGGACAGCACCAUGCCUGGGGGAUGAUGAUGCACCUGCGCCAGCAAAUAACAACACAGAAAGGGCCGGCGCGUGUUUGCACCACCACCCCUUGAGUGACCGCAGUUGCCAGGAGCUUCGUCCCAAGCCGAGUGACGAAAGCUAUCAGCCGAUGCCUGCCAGUGUGGGAGUUCAUGUUAAUGCGCUUACCCGUCGGCGUCGGUUUUCGACAGCACCUUGCGAAGGGCUGCACCCGCCUCCGCCGCCACCGCCGCCGCAGCCCUGUCCCCGCCAUGCUGUGCCGCCGCCGCCGCCGCCGCGAGGCGCCCAGAUUGUGGCAGCGCCUCCACGAGCACCUCAUCUUCGCCGUCCAACACGGCCUCAUCCUCGGACUGCAGGACCUCAUCCUCAUCCGGCUCCUCAUCCUCGUCUUCAUCCUCGUCCGUCACCGCACCCGCGGCCCCUCUAGCGGCCGCGCCGGCAUUGCCGGCGGCUCGGCCGGACCUGCCAUGUAGUCCCGCCCCGUCGGUUCUGGUGCCCAAGACCUCCAGACAGAAGUGGCGCAGCGUCAGCGGUGCGUCGCCCGGCCGCAGCGGCCGGCCGUCCGUCCCGCACGGCGCAAGCACCAGCACGCGCCCGCGCUCCAUGCGCAAUGCAUCCUUCAGGGCCUUGCCGACACGAACGCCCAGUGCGCCCGAGAGGCCCACGUUGGCCUGCGCGUAGCGCAUGGGCCGGAAAGAGCUACUGACGGGUGGAGCGUCAAGCGUAGGCCCUAGCACAGUGUUUUGUUGCGCGUGCGGUCACGCAAGUUGUCACGUGUCAGCAUGUACACGCGGCUCGAGGGUAGUUACCCCAGGAGUCAUAGCGCUUCGCCAAAGCGCGCCGCACGUACCUGCGUGAACUCGGCAGAACCUCGCGCGUGUAGGCACAAGGCCUGCCCCCUCGUGGUACCCGCCAUGACUCCUCCCGCCUUCAGCCACGCCACAGGGAAUUUGACCUUCCUACAAAUCAGAGCAUGCCCGCACGCGUGAAGGACAUGCGUUAUCCUAGGUAUGUACAGAUCGGCAUUCCUCAUCAAGGCCCUAGAGUAAUGCAUGCUCUUGCCCGACUUGAGCCUUGUACACAGUCAAACAGCAUUACGUACUGUGCGCAGUCGGUUUUGGUGAGCUCCUUCAUGCAGGAAAUGUUGAAGGCGGGGAAUCCGCCAGCCACCGCGCCAGGCGCCGGCACACCGCCCACAGCAGGGCUAGCACCGGCAGCUGGAUUGGAUUCCGCGCGCUCCAUCCCGUCGACGCCUUGACCCUCUUGCUCCGCCUCCUUCUGCUGCUCGCCCUCCUCCGCAGCCGCCAUGUGCGCAUCCGCCUCCCCCGCAUCCGGCACUGCGGCCGGCGACCGCGCCUGCGGCCGCCGCUGCGGCUGCAGGGGCUGCUGCUGGUCCGCCCUGGGUUGCAGGAGCGCGACGCCGCCCGCGGCGAGGUCAGCCUUACGCACGCACCACACGGUGAAGUGCACGGGUGGCACGCUCCAGUCAGCUGCCAUCCGGGCCGCCGCUGCGGAGGCGUUCUCAUGCGCCUGUGCCGGCGACACGGCUGCGGCGGUGGCGGCGGCGGUCGAGGCCCAGGGGGCGGGCGGAUGCAGGCAGCGCGCAAAGACGAGUGCGUCGCCGACCGUCGGCUUGUAGUGAUCCAACAUGGCUUUGGUGUCGUGCAGGCGCUGAGCGCUGUUGCCGUUGCCGCGCACGCGCAUCUGCGGGUGUAGGUGCACACAUGCAGCGUUGGCGCGACGUCAAAGCACCGGCCUGAAGACGGCCCCAACGGCCAGCGCCAAUUCCACGCGGCAUGCAGCAGGUGCGGAAAACGCGCGGAAAAAGCAGCACGCGUGUGGUAUUCGAGCCACGGUGCGAUGCCGGGGCGAUGCCUUUAAACUCCCGGUUCCCCACACACGAUUCCUCCUUGCAGCUGAACCUACAACCACUGCCAAAACCUACCGCCCAGCUCCCGCCGCCUGCGCCGUCGUGCAGGAUCACAGGCCCGCAGAAGGGGUGUUCCCCGUUAUCGGCGUGUAGGCCGUGGAAGACUCCGUCCUCGCCAGUCAUGGCUGACGUAAAGCAGAUGGGCCCGCCCUUGACACUGUCCACCUCCGAGUUCGACAGCUGCUUGCUACAGAGCCUGUCCAGACUGGCUCCUGCGCCGCCGCCGCGUCCGCCACCACCCAUGAGGAGCGGCGGCGGCUGAGGCAGAGCCCGCGGCCGAGAUCGAGGCGUCGGGCUGACCGACCCGGCCGGCCCCUGCGGCGUGGCUUGAAGCUGGAGCGGCGCCGGCUUCGAGCGAAUGGCGCGCUCUUCGGAUAAAUCUGGGGUCGUCUGCGGCGGCGGCGGCGGCGGCCUACGCGGCACGGCGGCGCGGGCGGCGGCUGUGCCUUCUUCAGCUCCCUUGGAGUCUGAGGGUGACGGUCUCGCCGCGACCUUUUCCAAAGUGGGCUUCCGUAGGGCCGGCGACGCGCCCUCGGCUGCAGGCGCCGCCGCCGCCACGACAGCCCCGGCAGAGCCGCUGGGUACACGGCCCUGCUGCCGCUCCCACUGCGAGCCCGACGCCUCCUCGCCCUCCUCCUCCCCGCCGUCUCGAGACGCCCGAGACCCCUGCGCCCCCGCGCCCGCGUCGCCAGGAGCCGCCGAAGUCGGGCCCCGCCCUCCGCUGGUGGUGAUCACAGCGCCCACGGUCUCGCCACUGUAGCGGUCGCCGCCACCACCCGCGCUCCCAGGCGCAGCGACUGAGCGGGCCCCGCCGCCACCGCCGCCCAAGCCGCCCAGCCCACCAACGUUGCCGCUGCUGCCAACCUGUGCAAGGCCCGACAGCUCCGCCAGCGGCGGCGGCGCCGCCGGCGCCGCGCCAAAUCCCAACGCAGGGUGCCGGCUGCCUUGCUCUGCGCCUCCGAGCCCAGCAGCCCCUGCUACCGCGCCCGCAUGCACGCAAACGCCGGCGCUGCCGCCCGCGCCCGCGCCCGCCGCUGCUGCGUCCGCCUCCUCGCCAGCGGGCCUGAGCAGUGCGACAAUCUCGUACGGCCGCGCCGGCCUGGGCGGGUCCGCAGGCCCGGAGGCGCAGCUGCCGUUGGCUCGCAGCAGUGUGUAGCGGCCCCGCGGCACGCCCUCCACCGGCUCCCUGAUGAGUUGCAGGCCUGCCGCCUCGGGCGUGGUCGGGUCCAGAACGCCGCCGUCCGCCGUCAGCCACCUCGAGGGGCCGUUCAGGCGGAUGCGCCACGCCGCGUCCUUGCCCUUGCCCUUCGCCUUGCCGCCCGCGCCCCUGCCGGCCGCUGCCGCCCCGGCCGGGGCACCUGCGGCGGCGGCGGCGGCGCCGCCGCCCGUGACCUCUUGCAGCGGGCGCAGUGUGUCCGCAGCGCUCAAGCCGAGGACCGUGAAGAGCACUGCGCCGGCCCCGUCGCCGUCCGACACAGGCACCAUGUCUUGAGCUCCGGCGCCCGCGCCGCUGUCCAGCACCAGCGGCCCCAGCUCGGCGACGCAGGUGAGGCCCGCGGCGCGCAGGUCUGCCGGCUUCAGGGCCAGCAGCUUGCGACGCGGCGCGGCAGGGUCGCGCGACGGCAAGACGGUGACUGUGAAGUGAAUGGUAAAGGCCCGGACGCAGUGGCCCGCACGCAGGGCGUCCAGCUGGUUCCCGUCAUGCGGCGGUUGGCCUGCAGUCGCUGGCUGGGGGGCUGUCGCGGCUGCGGCUGCGGCUGCGGCUGCCCCCACCGCCGGUUGGGUUGCUGCCGCCACCAGGGUGGCUUCUGCUGCGUCUGCUGGUGCCGCUGCGGUGGCAGUUGGCGCCGCUGCAGGGUCGGACCCCGCGGCGGGUGCAGUCGCCGCAGCGGGCUCCCCGCCAGCGUCCGCCAUGUGAGCCUCCACCAAUGCCUGCUGUGCCUGCGGCGCAGCUAUGGGCGCUGUAGCUGCGGGGCUGGGUGCUGUCGCAACCGCAGCUGCCACCUGUGGCGGCGCGGCAGAGGGCAGGACCUCCACCGCAGCGCUGCCGGCGGGCGGCGGCGCUGCCUCUGGCCCCAUCGCGGCCAGCAGCACGGUUUGCAGGGACGGCGGCGAGACGGCGAAUGCAGACGCAGCCGGUUGCUUAGGCCCCGGCGCAGGCUGGAGCCCGCAGCCGCUCGCAUGCACAGCGGCAGUCGCGGCCUCGGGAGCCGCCGCAGGAGGGGCUACAGCUGCGACCGCGGCUGGCACCGGCUGCACCUCGUGCGAGCCAGCCUCGGCACCAGCUGUGCCACCGCCCGCGGCGGCGCCAACAUUUGCAGCAGCCGGGGCGGUGUCUGACCCCAGCGCAGGACCGCCCCCUACUACGCCUGCCCGUGGUGUUCCUGCAUCCGCCGCCGCCCCAACCGCCGCGCCCACGUCACUUAAUCCGACCACCUGGACUGGCAGCUGCUGCUGGGGCUGCUGCGUGGGCUGGUCACGUGGCUCCGACUGUUGGCCCGCCGAUGGCUCCACUGGCGACCCAGCCGCACCUGCAGCGACACCGGUGCUUACAGUCUUGGCAGGCGACAACGCAGCCGCCUCUGGCACCGGUGCCUGCCGCGGGAUUGCGAAUUUGUUCUUGCGGUGGCGGCGGAGCAGCGCCAGGGAGCUCACAUUGGCGAAGUCCACCGCCGGGGCUGCAGCUGAAGGCGCAGCCGUAGGAGGAGCUGUAGGUGCAGCUGAAGGUGCAGCUGUAGGUGCAGCUGUAGGUGCAACUGGCAUUUGGCGUGAGAGGUGUAAGAGAAGGCGGGGGCCACAGAGGGUAAGGAGAGGUAUGGCAUCUGCAGCCUCAUUGUAGCGGUAGCAGGCAGCUUUAACGACUUACGAGCGGUUCCCGCCGGAUUUCCACAGCUCCCCUUCGCUCCACCCUCAGCCGAUUGAGAGUCCGCAGGCUGUACAUCCAUGGUCAACUCGUUGUAUUCCAAAGCUCAAGGCAUGGCACCUCGCUUGCGCAACUCUCCCGACAAUGGCGCACUCCCCGGCGAGCCGUUCCGCCGCAUCAUAGCAACUAUGGAGUACAUGCAAUAUUUAGGCAUGCGUUUGCAUCGCUAAUUGCAAUAGGCACGUCUUGCCGAGGCAAGCCUAUACACGGCGGAUAUUUCUUUCGAGGGCGAACCUAGCCAGGCGUGGAGUACGUUGGUUUGAAUGUUGUUUGCGUAGAAAACUCCAGAUGUGGCUACGGAGUUGCGGAAGGGAUGAAUUUCUGCUGAACCCCAUUCCAGGCCCAGCCCUGGCCCUGAUAGCCCCGACCGCUCCCGGGGGACUGUUUGCAGGCUUGCCGUUAUCUUACAAGGUACCAGACUUCCUGCCAACAACGUCAGAUACCGAGAAGGUUGCAGGUCUGGGCGUUAAGCCCAGGAAUAUCGGCAUGCCAUUUCGUAACCAGCACUUUCUGGCAACCCGGUGCACACAACCUCCUCUGUCUCUGCUUCUCCGGUCAGGCCGCUCAAGCGGUCACUUGCUCAUGUGGAUAUGUGCACUUCAUUGAGUGCGCGCCUGCAUUGGGAUGCAGAUUCAACUGUAGAACCUCUGCCAGGGGAGUGGCACUCCCCUGACCUCUGCCCCUUGCGCUUACUCAAUACGAUUCCAUCGACUAGAGGCUGUUGCCACACGUCGUACUGCUCAUACAGGCCUCACGCGUUUUACUAAGCUAGCAUGAACGUCAAUGGGGGGGGCUGUGCGCGUUCAGGGGUACACGGUGGACGUUCGGGACAGUCGUUGCGGAUGGGCGGGAGAGGACAGUUCGUGCGGGAUCUGUGCGGCAGGCACGGUAAUUGAUGGGGGCGCCUGAAAAGACAGAUGAGCCAGUGCGGACCGGGGGAGGGAGCGAUUGGACUUGCUGUUCGCGCGACUGAAGAUGGAGGGAUGGGCGAAACAGGGGAAAUCGGUAACGGUAGUGGAGGGUCGGAGAACUUGGUUGGGCGGGGAAAGUAGUGGGAGGAGUGGGAAAAGUGUCUGUGUGUUCGUGGGGCGGCGGGAACGUGGCCCGCCGAGACUGCGCAAGUUCAGAAAAGACAGAAUGGAAGGUUCCAGACGAGGCCCGUGCUCAUGACGGCUUUUAUACGAGCUUUUAGCACACGUCCAUCACAUCUAUAUUGCCCAGGGGGCGACUGCGUUGCAAUCUCAGCACACAGCAUGCCAAGUUAUUGCACGCUCGUCCCAUGACAACUACAUCAGCGGGCAGACGUGAUCAAGGACUGGGCGCCAAAUUAAAUCACGUCAACACUCCGUAUACGUUGUUUUUACCCGCCGUUUCCUACGGAGAAAGCACGCAGAUACGGUCAAUUCAAUCUGGAAGCUCACACUUGGCGGUACAAACGUCUAAGUCUGCACACGCACGUCAGGCUGCGGUCACGCCUGAAUGCAUGAACAUGUAACACAUUUCACCUUGCUUUUAUAUCAUGGCUAUUCACGUGCCAACCUGCUGGGAGUUUCUGUCUCCAUCAACCUGCACUUCAAGCCAUAGUGUCGCUCCUGCAUCACGUUCCUACAGGCCACGCCGCGCGUGGCCAACACGCCAGCACACGCCGGGUUCUGCGCGGACCCGGCCGUGGACCGCACACACCCCCGCCGCAUUCACGGUGCCACGAGGCCGCACCCCACGUAGCAUACCGCAACACAUCACAGGUUCUUGGUGCUGAUGUAGUAGGGGCAGACCGCAAUGCUGAAGACGUUGCCUGCGGAUCGGCAGCAGUCCAGAGAAUGGAUACCAGUCACCACCGUAAUCCACACGCGUAACCCAGUUGCUACAGCCAUACGUAUCUAGAGGCAGGGUAUAUAUGUUUGUAUGUGCGGUUGUACGUUGUAUGUGCGCGCGUGCAGCGUGCGGACCUCCCCUCCUCAAUCUGCACGUAGACAGUGCCGGCCACACAGCCACUCCCCCGGUCCGAUGCACGCCGCUGUCACGUCCGAUGAAACGUCACGCCACGUUCCACCCACCCUGCCGUUGAGACUAUUCCAUUCGUAUGGGCUCUGGCUUGUAAUGUGCCUACCCACCCACCCACCCACCCACCCACCCACCCACCCACCCAGUCCUCCCACCACGCCCACGCCCACCUGUGAUGUGCUCCAGGCGCCACAUGCGCUCCCGCGCCCGCCGCCGCAGCACCACCACGUCGUACAGGUCGUCCAGCAUCUGGUGGUGGGCGGGUGGGGCGGGGGGCGGGCCGGGGUCAGUCGAGUGGCCGUGGGGCCUUCACGACUACGGACAAAGCACCGGAGCCGGUAAUUUCGCAUGACCAACCCUUUUCACCCACUGGGUAGCCGAGGUCAGCGCCUAACCAUACAUACAUAUACACACCCACCCACCCACCCACCCACCCACCCACCCACCCACCCACCCACCCACACCCACACCCACACCCACACCCACACCCACACCCACACCCACACCCACACCCACACCCACACCCACACCCACACCCACACCCACACCCACACCCACACCCACACCCACACCCACACCCACACCCACACACACACCCACACACACACACACACACACACACACACACACACACACACACGCACACACACCACCAUCAUGCCGCGCAUGGGCUGGAAGCUCUCUGGCUCUGAGACCCUCAAAGUCCCCCUAGCGAAGCUGUCCGUCCGCAUGGCCACAUCCAUGCAGCUGGACGAUGUGGCCACGCGGCGGGCGGACCUACACGAGGAUUAUGAGCGCGCGGCACAGGGCCUCCCGCCGCGCGCUGUGGUGCGGCGGGAGGACCUGCCAGCAGCUGCGGCUGCAACGCUUGGCGCCAUUAGGGACACCCUGGCGCGCCUUUGGCAGAAGGUGUGGUGGGAACGGCGACACUUUGAGACGCUGUGGCGGUUGGCCAUCGACGCAGUGCCGCUGCCGGGAAACUCGCAUAUGCCGUUGGCUCGCCGUGAGCCAUGCGGCUGUGGGCAACACGGCCAUGGGGGCGCCGCGGUGGAGACACACGCCGCCGCCGCGCCCACGCCACGGCAGCACCACUUCUGGGAUUGCGCGGUGGCGAAGGCCGUGGUGGCGCAGAUCAACGCACACAACCCCGGUCCGGCUCCCAUCAGCCAAGCCCAGCUGUGGCUGGUUCAGGCGCCGCCGGGUUUUCAGCAGUGUGUUUGGGACGUGGUGGUGAUGGCGGCGCUGGCCGCCACAGAACAUGGCCGGGUGCGGCUGCGCGGGAUGACGCGCGCCGCAGCGGCCCUGGGAAUUCAGACGGCGGCGGCAGCAGCUCCCGAGGCUGCGGUGGCAGGUGCAGCGGAGGCGGAACCCGAUCUUGACGAGAUCCCGCCCACACAGCUGACGCCGCCGCAGCCAGGCGUCAACCCCGUCGAGCUUGCGUGCGCUCGUGCAGUCGCGGACUUCUGGUCGCGGCUGAUGCAGUUUGCGCAGCUCGGCGUGCCCCAAAAGGGCUGGGAUGGUGUUGACGCCACUCACCCCAUCCUGGCGGUGGUGAACGGUGAAAUGCUGUGCGCGAUGCCGCAAGCUAUGGAGCUGGAGGCUUGAAAGGGAUCAGCCCUUAGGAGAAGCGCGUGAGCACUAACAUGAGCCACUGAAGCAGUGGCAUACGAGAGGGUCAGCGGGGGAGCUUAGUGGGCAGGCGAAGGGUUUUUUUUGUUUUACGCCCGUGGGAGCAGGGCCAGGUUUGCGGGGUUUUUAUGCCUGAGAGGGUGUAUUGGGUGCUGCAACACCCCGGGUCUUACGGCCUGGACCGGCCUAGUGGCCAGACGCGUUUGUGGCUGCCCUUAGGCAUUGUCUGCCCUGGCGUCGAGAGCUGGUUAGGUUGCGGUUGAGGUCGUGCAGGCUGCCGGGUCGUAGGACUCAGCCCCGCAGCCACUGUGGUCGUGCUUUCGCGUGCUGUCACGUGCUGAGUGUUUUGUUUUGUUUGCUGUUUUUGUCUGCCCGCCUGGUUUUAUUAAGAGGUAGCUCGCCCGCUGGGUCUGAGGUUGUUACACCGGUAGUAAUUCCGCAAGGAUUACUGGCGCGGUGAAGGGUCGGAGUGCGUUGCCCUGUGGACUCCAGAGCUGUUUUGCGCUCUGCCGGGGAAACGCCAGGUCACGGCAGCCCUCGAUUGAGAGCCCUGUCGUUGGUUAUACCAGAUACACGAUUCACGUGAUCUGGCAGAAUAACCGUGGAAACCGUAGUCACACACACACACACACACACACACACACACACACACACACACACACACACACACACACACACACACACACACACACACACACACACACACACACACACACACACACACACACACACACACACACACACACACACACACACACACACACACACACACACACACACACACACACACACAGAGAGAUACACACACACAGAGAGAUACACACACACACAGCACAACGUGACCGCAGCCCGAGUCCCGCACAUCCAACACCUGCAACUUUCACCCGGCCCCCUGGGUCCCCUCGCCCCAGCGCCUCACCUCGCGGUUGAGCGCGAAGUGUGUGUGGCGCAUAGCGUUGACGAUGGAGGCCAGGAAGGACAGGUCGAUCACGUCCAGGUCCAGCGGCACGCGCGUCACCGGGUCCGUGAUCUGGUACACGCGCCUGCCCUGCAUGUGUAUGCCACACGUGCCGGUGCAUGUGUUCGCGAGCACAGGCAUGGCAUGGGGUGUUAGAAGAGCACAAGAAAGGGGCGACAUCGUGCUGUACACGUGUGUGGGUGCACGCGAGUGGAAGUACAGUCGAACCACCUGAGGAAGUGUGGCAGGAUCGGCCAGGCGCAGUGGCCUUGAACACAGGGGUCAGUGUCGCACAGCCAUCGCGCAGUCCCUCCCACCCCCGCCUGUGACACACGCGCCGCCACCCACCAGGCUCUUCUCCAACCAACCGUACAACACGGGCUUGCGCAGGCGGCGGCGGUAAUGCACCACCCGCUCGCACCACCACGCCAGCUCCUUCGCUCCCUCCUCUUCUUCUUCCUCCUCCUCCUGCUGCCCAUGCCCCUCUCCAUGCCCGGCAGCCGGCGCCGCCGCCUCCACGUCAGCUAAGAAAGCUGCGACAGCCUUGCGCGCCGCUGGGCGCAGGCGCUGCAGCCGCGAGUCAAACAUCGUCAUCAAAAAGUAGUAUAGACAACGCACGCUGCAUAUCGGGAAGUGCGAAAGCGGCAAAGCGCGCAGCAAAACUGCACGCGUCCAGAACUGCGGUUGCGAAGGCCAUUGCCUCUGAGUCCGUGCUGGCUGGAUGUUUUCGUUUGUUAGGGCAGCAGCAUGCUCGCCAUCAAGAAGAGUGUAGAGUGAGCAGCGGGCCCCUUGCAGACCAAUGGGGUUUUAAACAUUGAUGCCAAAAUUUCACAACCAGAUCAAACUGUGAUUGCAACAGCGCGUUCUUACACUGUAAUCGUUCAGCAAUCGAAAUACACGCGUGUUGCCCUGAGCGGCAUCGCCGCGCGCAAAAUAGUAGUCUCUUUUGGCGCGCUCCGACAACUGGGGCGCCCGCUCUCGCCAGCGCUCUCGCCGUGUUAGCCUGCAAUCCAAUUGAAAUGAUGCAUUGCUCUCCCGACCAUUUCUAAUGCUGUGACCGGAUGCAUCAUCGUGGUUCCUCCGCUCACGCACUCCGCAUAGCAACACUCUGCCUGCCUUUGACUGGAACCCGCGCCCUGGCAACCGUCAAACGUAGAGCAGGUACAGACCACCCUCGCCAGCGCCCAACGGACUGUCAAAUUUCAUCCAGUCAUAGCAACUGCCCUGCCGUCAGCAUUCUUGCCCGCAUGAAAUUUACAUACCAUACAGUACCGUAAUGGGACACGCGCACUUAUCUUACAAGUUACAACUAUUCCCAGACCCCGCACCGGCGGUGGCAUGCCGCCCGCAAAUCCCUCGCCAACGCCCAGCCCCGCGUUGCCAGCUGCCGCCGCAGCAUGUGCACGCCGCCGCCGCUGGGGCCACCGCCGAGGCCGCCGCCUUAGCGGGCGCUGCCGCUGCCGCCCGCCGGAGCGCUGCCGGCAGGGAAGCGCCAGCCCAACGGCGUCGCCGCCAGCCGCGCCGCGCGCCACUCCAUGAAGCUCCUGGGCGCGUUGGGGUUGGGCCCGGGCCCGCCCGGCUCCGAGUCGGGGUCGAAGAUGUUGCUUCGCAGCCGGAUCCUUUUCAUCCGCCGCAGAAUUAGCUCCUCGCACCCCAUGUCAGGAAGGUAGUGAAGCCGCCCGCCCACUACCUCGUCCAGCGGCGGAAGCUGGUGGCGGUACGGAUCACUGCGGUCGGCAGCAGUCGCACGGCGGCAGGGAGGGGCAGGGGUGGCGGCAGGGGUGGGGGCAGGGGGAGGGGUAGGGAGGGGGUGUUGGACAGAAGCCACGUGGGUAACAGUGAAGGGACAUGCAGACGGUCGGGGCUGGGAAGGAUGGGCACGGUUGCCUGCCAUGCAUGGGCGCGUGACCAAGUAAGCUGAAUUACAAGGUAUCCCCAAACCAGACAUAACCAAGCAAAGGAGCCCUUUCGGUUUACCUGAAUGGCUCGUAGCGCCCAGAGCUGCAAUCACCGCCGCCGCCGCCUAGCCUGCUGUUGGCGGCGCCGCUGCCGGCUGCUGCUGAUGCCGGUGACUCCUUGGCCGGCACGUCACGGCCGGGCCCGCUGCCUGCCGCGCGCCGUGCCUCUCGGCCCUGAGCACCUGCGGCCUCCUCCGCGAGUGGCACGGCAUCGGCCGCACCGCCUGCUGGUGCCGCUGCCGCUGCCGCUGCCGCUGUGGCUGUGGCUGAUGCACCUGCGGUGCUCGAGUGAGUGCGGAGGUCCUCCCACUCAGCCGUCGCGGUCGCGGCACCACCAUGACCGUCACCGUCGCCCCAGCCGCCCGAUGCUUCAGCCGCAGUCGCGGCGGAGGGCUCCGCGCCGCCGGCUUGGUGUGGCUCGGGCGCGUCAGCCGCAGCGGCGCCCUUCCCACCCGCCGUGCCACGCACUUGCGCGGAUGUCGCUGCAGCGGCCACGUCUGAUGUGCCUGCGCUGCUCCGGUACACGGAGCCCCCGACCCAGCCUACCGGACCCACCGCGUCACCGCGAGCUUCCGCUUGGGCCUCAGGUGCCAUGCCUGCCCCGUCCCCCUCGCCGCCACCGCCAGCACACCGGCCGCCCUCUGCUUCGGCGCGGCGGCGCUUGCCCGACUCCGGGCUUGACCCCGCUGCCCGCUCGCCAUCCUGCGCCUGGCUUCCUGACUGGCCAGGACUGCGCCCCCGCGGGCCAGGCUCCGGGUCCCGCUCGCGCCCCUGGCCUCGGUCCCGGCCUCGGUCUGAAGCCUUGCCGCUGCUGCGGCCCGGAUCCCGCUUUGGCUCCGGCCCUGGCUUCGGCUCGUUGCCGCUGCCGCCGCCGCGCGCUCGCCCCUCCAGGUCAUGCUGCCGCUCCUGCUCGCCCUCGCGCCGGCGCUUCUGCCCCCGGUCGCUAUCACGCUCCCGCUCUCGCUCCUGCUCCCGGCCGCGUGUAGACUCCUUCUCGUCAUGCUUGCGUUGCUGGUCAUGCUCGCGCUCACUGCCGCGCUCCCGCGUCUGCUCCAGCUCGGGGCCGCGCUUCCGGUCCCCGCCCCUGCCGCCCUCCUUGUCCCGGUCCCGCUGCCGGUCUCGCUCGCGCCCCGGCUCCGCCGUGCGCUUUUUCUCACGAGACCGGUCGCGGUCACGCUUGCGGUCAGCGUCACGUGGCCUUUCGCGCCCCGAGCUGUGGGCCUGCGGCUGGUCAUAGUCGCUGCUGUUGCCCUGCGGCUGCUCAUCCCGCCCUCGCUUUUUAUCGUUCGGCUGCUGCUCCACGCCCAGCCCUUGCUCGCGCUCCACAGCUGGCUCCCUGUCCAAAGCCUGGGCCUGCGGCAGCGGCAGUGCUGCUGACAAGAGUGCGGAGAGCGAACCGGCCUGUCCUGGUGGCUGCUCGUGUGGGGACGGAAGAGGCGGCUGUUGCGAGGGCUGCAGCUGCGGUUGGGGCGACAGCGGAGGUUGUGGCUGCUGCGGCUCUAGCGGCUGUAGUGGUGCCGCCACUGGCGGCGACACCAGCGGCUGCUCGGCCGGCUGCGGCUGCGGCGGUGGCGACAUGCUUUGCACCGCAGACGGAGACAAGACGAUUGGCGUGCACCCGGUGCUGGACCGUCGCCGCAUGGUCCCUGAAGCAUCUAGGCCCUCCUGCUGCUGGUGCUGCAUUCCUCCUGCCUUAUCCUUGCCAGUUUGGCCUUGCUGCGCAGCCUGUGGGCUCCCCACUCCCACGUCCGGCUGCAAGGCGGCCCCCACCUGCCCUGCUGCCUUGCUGCGAUGCCUUUGGCUGUCGGUUCCACCGCGCUCUUCACGCGGCCGGGAUUCCUGCCGUUGCUCGUUCGUGUCAGGCACAGACCGCGGCGUGUUAGAAGCCGUCGGAGCAGCUGCGCCCGCUAGGUGUGGUGGGAGGAGCGACGGAGACAGCGGCCGCAGCGAUUCCUGCUGUUGCUGCAUCUGCAUCUGCUGCAGCUGGCCCUGCGCUAACGGCGGUGGCGGCGGUAGUGCCUGCUGCUGCGACUGUGGCUGGCGGCCCGUUUCCGCAUCACGGGACGCCUGUUUGUCGCGCUCCCGCUCCUUGCUGCUGUCUUGCCGCCGAGCCGAAUCUGUCCGGUCUCGGUCGCGCUUCCCUUGACGUUCCCGAUCGCGGUCACCGUCCCGGCUGCGGUCUCGCGCUGCAGGCUUCGCUGCUGCCGCCGCCGCCGCAGCGUCCGCCGCUUUUGGCGUGCCUGUGUUAUGACCAAAAGCACCCAAAGAUGCGGGGCGAGGGGAGGGCGGCAGCUGCUGCGGAGCUGCUGCUGCUGCUGCUGCCGCCAUCGUCGGCGCUGCCGGGCUUGGUCCUGUGGCCGCCGCUGCUGCUGCUGCUGAGGGCUCGCUGCUGCCAUGGCCGUCAGCCCGGUCGCUCUUGCUGGGUUCCGCUCCGCGUUCCUUGCCACGCAGCGACUGCUGCGAAUCUUUGCCCUCGGCACGCUCUUGCUGCUUGCGCUUCUCCCUCUCCUUCUCCUUCUCCCUGUCCCUAUCGCGCUCCUUCUCUUUCCCCCGCUCUUUGUCCCUGUCCUUAUCCUUCUGCUGCUGCCGCACCUUGUCGGCAUCCAUGCCGCGCUGCCUGUCGCCACUCACGGCACGAUCCCGGUCCCGGUCCCGGUCCCGAUCCCGAUCCCGGUCCCGGUCCCGGUCCCGGUCGCGCUCACGCUCCCGGUCCUUUGGGCGGCCGUCGCCGUGCUCCUUGUCGGCGCUGAGGCCCUGCGCCUCAUCCCGGCGCCGGCUGCGCUCUUGCUCCGGCUUCUGCCGGCCGCCCUCGCGGUCCCGACCGCGGUCUCGGCCCCUGGUGUCGCUACGCUCCCGCUCUCGCUCCCGCUUGCGCUCCCGAUCGCGGUCACGGGCCGCGUCGCAAUGGCCGUCGCCGCCGCCAGCUGCGGUCGAGUCGACGGCACGCCGCCUGUCGGGUGUUGCGUCAGCUGUGGACGUGGUGGCUGCCGGCGGCCGUGUCGGUUGGGCUGCGCCGUUGUCGGGCGUUGCCGCAGGGGCAGUGCCGCUCGGCGUCGUGACAGCGCCCCUGCCGCCUGCGUCGUCGCGCUGGCUGGCGCCAUGUUGCGGCGAGCGAGGCAGCGACAGCUGCGGCGGCGGCAGACCCUGCUGCAGCUGCGGUGGCUGCAGCGGAACCGCUGCUGCAACUCCUGCCUCCCCACCAGCACUGCCCGCCUGCACCGCAGCCGCUGCCGCUGCGCCUGCCGCAGCCCCCUGGGCGGCUUGAUGCCACGCCGCCGCCUCCUGGGGCAGCGGGAAGGCCUGCACCUCCCCGGGCAGGUGCAGCAGCGCCUCGUGGCGUGCCAGCGAGGCCUGCGCGUCAUCCAGCGCCUCCUCCGCCGCCGCCGCCUGCGGCAGGCCGUUCUCGGCCACCUCCCACCCGUCCGCCACGGGCGCCCACCAGUCAUCGCCUCGGUCCAGGAGCAGCUGCUCGCCGGGCCGCAGGUCGCGGACGGCCACCAGCACCGGCAGCACCACGCCGCGCACCGCAACCGGCACCACCUAGCAAUUGGAGGAGCGAGGCGGUUCCAAGGCCUACCUCAAGAAAGCUCGAAAGGGCAACGUGCAUGGCCUCGGGUUUCGGGUCACACGGAGUUUGGGAGCUGCAUGAAAACAGCCCGCAGCGCAGGGCGCUACCGCAAGACAGUCCCAGUCCGCCGUGUCACGCAAUACCGCGUCCGCCCCGUCCGCCUGCCCGCUCCCAUCCCCGCGCGCACCCACCACGCAGUUGGCCUGGCGCUCCUCCUCCGGAGGCUCCGGCAGCUCUAAGUCAUCCGUCGCGUGCCGCCGCUGCCCCGGGUCGUUCACCAGCGCCAACACGCUGCGUGCCGCCCCCAUGCUGAACAGCGUGAACUCCUGCUGCCGCGGCGCCGGCAGCUGCGAGUGCAUGCAGUGGGCGCUGUCCGGGGGCGCGAUACCUGUGCCUGCUCCGGCUGCUGCAGCGGCUGUUGCCAGGUCCGCUGCCGCGGCUGCUGCUGCUUUGGCGGCAGCCGCCGCGCCCGGCGUCUCCGUCAGCUCCGGCGGGUAGGGCAGGCGGUAGGACAGGGACAGGAAGCGCCACACCUCUCCAGUCUCGCCGCGCCGCCGCAGCUCCAGCAGCAGAGCGGGGUCGCCGCGAGCUGGGCGGUGGCUGGACGCCGCGCGCGGGUGGCCCACGUAAGCGAACUUGUAGGCGUCCUCAGAGCCGCCCGCAGUGCCCUGCGGGGCCGCACAGGUCGCGGGUGCGCGCGACAUGGAGCGAGCAGAUGCCUUACUACUUGCGUACAUCCCACCUUGACUUACGUAGAUCCCACCUUGACUUACGUAGAUCCCACCUUUCUUGCGUACAUCCCACCUCUGCCCGCUUCAUGACGACGCUCAAGAACCCGCCUUCUGACUGCCAUACUCGGGACGUCAAGCUACGCACGCGCUCACCUGCAGCAGCCAACCAGGCAUCACACCCAAGGGGUGGAACUUCCGGACCUCCGUGGUCACGCACGCGCCCAGCCCGCCGCGCCGGGCGUCGCGGCACGCCACCACGCAGGGUAGCGUCACGGGGCCGCGCGGCAGCGGCGUGGUGGCGUCAUACAAGUCCUGUUGUGGGAGAACGAGGGCGGCCCAGGUUUGCUAACAUUCCGUUGCAGAACCCUUUUGCAGUGGUCAAAUGUCAAUCAAGCGUCCAUAUGGACACAUUGUCCUGGCUUGUUUGGGAUCACGUUCGGGGCGUGUGCGGUGUUCCAGACUGGACAAUACGCUCGAGCGCACCUUGAGAUUCAGCAGGCUCGCAAGGCGGCGCUGAAGCACCCCGGUCCUGGUGCCGCUGCUGCUGCCGCCGCCCUCGCCGCCCCGAAAUAGAGCAUGCCAAGGCCUCGGCUGCGCCGACGCUGGCAGCGCCGCCUGCUGCCCCUGGCCUUUGUCUCCCUUUCUGCUGCCUCCACCAGGCAACGGCACGAUCUCGACUGCGGGCGUCUGCUCAUUGCCGGCGUGGCGUCGUAGCCAGUCCGCCCGCCCGGCGCGGGCGAAGGCGGCAGCCGCGGCAUUGCCACCGUCCCGCCUGACCGCAAACACGACGCCGCACAGUCGCAGCGACCCGUCGUCUGCAUCUUCCGCGGGCACCUCGCGUGCUGCUGCCUGCGGCGCGCCGCCGCCGGCCCCCGCAGCCUCCGAGGCACCAGGCAGCAGCCGCCUCCAGCGCAUCUGCUCCAGCGUGAUGGUGCCGGCGACCUGCUCCCACUGCGCAUCAGCGGCGGCGGGCGGCGUGAAGCUGGCGGGGUCGGCGCCGGCCGGCACCCAGCCGUCCGGGUCGUGCACGCAGGCGGCGGCGCCUGCCGCGCCGGCAGCCGCCGCGGUGCCGAGGCCGGGCUGCUGUAGCGGCUGGGGCUCCUGGGGCGACUUCCGCUGCUGCUGCUGCUGCUGCUGCUGCCCUGUUGCGACGUCGCGGGCCAGCGGCGGCGGCGAGACGCUCGGCUUGGGGCGCGCAGGCGCCACUGGAGCCGGCGGCGGCGCACGCGCCCGUGGCGGCGCGCCGUCCUUGGCCGCGGCCUCGCCUUUGCUGCCGGCAGACCUGGCGGCUGCCCCGCCGUCGGCACUCCGCGGGCUGGGGGCCUCCCGGCUGGUGGUGGCUGGCGCCGCCGGCGCUGCGGCCGCGACCCCGGGAUCCGUCACACCACGCGCCCCGUGUGCCACCGCCACGGCACCCCGCCGCGCCAGUCCUCCCGCUGCUGCCCCGGCACGCUCCCCCUCCUGCUCAUCGUCCUCAGAGCCCUCCUCGCCCUCAUCCAAGCCCUCAUACGCGCCCUGCUCCUGCCCCGACUGCUCGUCAGCUACGGCCGCGCCCCCCGGCCGACGCGAGACGCAGCGCACGGCGUAGUGCGGGGGGGCCAGCCGCACCGCGCCCGCCGCCAGCGGCCGUCCGGCAUUGUCGCAGGCUUCCAGGACCAACUCCUUGCCGACCGCCAAGCCCAAUCGCUUGCGCAUGUCAGCUGGAAUCGUCAUG
rnacentral:lncRNA from 1 species